UAUGUAAUAACAAAAGUGUCAUGUCACUUUUCCUCUCGGCAGCUCUCCCCCAACCCUACAAAAGACUUUGCUGAAAACCCUCAUUUUAACCCCUUUUACUCAGCUCGUUCGACCUUGGUCAGGCCUAUUGAGCACCACCACUUUCGCCAUCGGAAGCUAAGACCUUCAUCUUUCCUCUUGUGGCCUUAACUUUCACGAUGGUGCCUUCCCUCUACUCUUUUUCCGUCUCUUUUCUUUUUUCAGAUGGGUAAUGACUGUGCGGUGAUAUAAUUAUGCCCAACUCUAACGCGAUAAGGGCGUCACGAUCUCCUUCUUGAUUGCUCGAGUCCAACCUUCUCCCUACGGCGGUCUUCUCCACUGUGGUGGCUCAAAUCCAGUGGCUUAGGUAUUGGUUUCCUCACGAAGCAACGAGACCACACCAUGGCAGCUCAAACCGGUGGAAUAGGUAGAGUUGGCUCUCCGAACUGUGACAACGGUUCUCCUUUCCUUCUUUCCAUUCGGCGGCGUGGUGUUUCUCAAUGGCGGUGGCCUCCCGCUCCCUCCCGGAAUCGGUGCUCCCUCUACUCGGCGGUCCGUCUAGUUCUGACGGAGGAGCUUCUUAUCUUAGGUCUUCCCGCCAUCUUUUUCAACGACAAUAUCCUCGCCCAUCAUGUCAAGGAUUGCGAUUCUUAUCGUUUUGAUCUUCCUUCCCCUGUUCAAACCAAUUUUUUGUGGCUUGCAUUUUUGUUAUUAAUAUGAACAGGUUGGCUCCUCUAUUGACGGUCGCUAGUUCGAACCAAUCGAAAGAGCUCUAGUUGCUUAGCUGCUAGUUCCAUUGGUUUGAUUGUCUCGGGAUUGAGCUAUUAGGGUUAGGUUGAUUAAGACGAUCAUCGGUUUGAACCGAUCAAAGGAGUUUUAGGCUUUGUUUGGGAGUUGAGUUUUAACUCCACUGCAUUCCAACUAUAAAUAAUUAUAUUUAUUUGGAAUUA